rnacentral:rRNA from 1 species
CCUACGGGAGACUGCAGUGGGGAAUAUUGGGCAAUGGAGGAAACUCUGACCCAGCAACGCCGCGUGAAUGAUGAAGGUCUUCGGAUUGUAAAGUUCUUUUCUAAGGGAAGAAGAAAGUGACGGUACCUUAGGAAUAAGCCUCGGCUAACUACGUGCCAGCAGCCGCGGUAAUACGUAGGAGGCGAGCGUUAUCCGGAAUGACUGGGCGUAAAGGGUGCGUAGGUGGUUUGGCAAGUUAGUAGCGUAACUCCAAGGCUCAACCUUGGAACUACUACUAAAACUGUUGGACUUGAGUGCAGGAGGGGCAACCGGAAUUCCUAGUGUAGCGGUGGAAUGCGUAGAUAUUAGGAGGAACACCAGUGGCGAAGGCAGCAUACCGGCGCGCAACUGACGCUCAUGCACGAAAGCGUGGGUAUCGAACAGGAUUAGAUACCCGAGUAGUC